CCGAGGCGAGAGCUUGGCCCUGCUCUGCGCUGAAGGGAAAGCGCGUCGCGCCAAAGCCCCGCUGGGAAGAGGCGCCCGGACGCCAGGGAGACGCCGGCGGGAGCGGGAGCCAAGCCAAGCCUGGCGCCAAUGCCGGGCGAGAGCCGAGAGAUGCCUGGCGGGAGCACGGCGCUGCACCUCGUGGCAGGCGGAUUCGGUGGCACAGCCGGAGCCAUCCUGACCUGCCCGCUGGAGGUUGUGAAGACCCGCCUGCAGUCCUCCUCGCUGGCCUUGCGGCCCCUUUGCCUUCCUGCAGUGCAGUUGCAGGGGGUGAACGGAGCACUGAUCCGCCCCGGACUUCCCUCUGUAGGAGCCCUUGAACUGCUGAGGACCAUUCUGGAGAAGGAAGGCGUUCGCUCCCUUUUCAGAGGCCUGGGACCAAACCUUAUUGGAGUUGCCCCUUCCAGGGCCAUUUAUUUUGCUGCAUAUGCAGGAGCUAAAGAGAAACUCAACAUGGUGCUUGUGCCGGAGUCCAAGAAGGUUCACAUGCUCUCAGCAGCCUGUGCAGGAGCCACAUCUGCCACCUUGACCAACCCCAUCUGGCUGGUGAAGACCAGGAUGCAACUGGAACCAAGGGCCAAAGGUGAGAGGUCCACCAGUGGGCUUCGGUGUGCCAUGCGUAUUUACUACACAGAGGGUCUGCGAGGCUUUUACCGUGGGAUCACUGCUUCAUAUGCUGGAAUCUCCGAAACCAUCAUCCAUUUUGUUAUCUAUGAAGCACUGAAGAAGCGGCUCAAGGAGCAUCGGCAAUUCCUGCCCCCAGCGCUUCCCUUUUCACCCAACAGUCAGGACUUCUGUGGGCUGAUGGCAGCAGCUGCCAUCUCCAAGAUGUGUGCCUCGUGCAUCGCCUACCCACAUGAGGUCAUCCGGACACGACUGCGAGAGGAGGGCUCUCGGUAUCGCUCCUUCGUGCAAACGCUGCAGCUUGUGGCCAGAGAAGAGGGCCCCCUGGCUCUUUACCGCGGGCUGCUGGCUCAUCUGAUUCGCCAGAUCCCCAAUGCAGCAAUUGUCAUGGUCACCUAUGAACUCACCAUCCAUUUGGCGACAAAAAUGUGACACGCUCUGCUUCCUGACCACUGGCCAAGAUGGCCGAGUGCAUUUACACUGGAUAUGCUGCCUUACUAAAGGGCGGGCUUCCUUAUUCUAGGGCCAAGUACCAGCUGGCCGAGAAAGCCUGCAGGCCGGCAGCCAGCACAUUGUUUUCAAGUGCUGACAACUGAAGGAGAAAUUCUGCUGUGCUGAAUCCUGUGCUAAGGAUCGGAGGUACCGUUGGACAGAUGCCGAGCUUGUCAUGCGAAGUAGCUGGGCAGGAAUGAAUACCAAAGCAACAUUGAUAAAAAGCCUUUCCAGUGGCUGCUGCUGAAACGGUCUUCCCGCUGCUCCUGGUUUCAGCUUGUUGGCCGUGCUAUUUAGUAUGGCGGAUGUGUUAUGUCUGCUGGGGCCUGGGUGUGGCCACCCAUCGGCUGGGAAGAUGCAGCAAUUGCAAAGGGAGAAGGGAGAAAUUCUGCAGGAAGCAGACUAGCACUGAAAGGUUAGCCUCAAAUCGGAGGCUGGCCUGCAUCAGCCUGUGGAUCAGAAUCUGGCUCUCACGGAAGACCAUGUACCUCAACUGUAAACUCAUUGCUGGAGUAGCGCCCGUUCAUCUCAGUGCAAGAAAGACGGAACUUUCUCUCAUAAAGGGCAGCACCGUGGCGUAUGCAGUAUGAGACCUGGCGAAGGAUCUCUUCAUACACCGCAAUACUCUCCACACCUACAAAUGGAGAAGGAAGAUCAAAGGGGGAAGGAUGCCAAGCUGGCUGAACUCCAGUCUGGAUAUCAGGAUACAAGCUUUACAUGCAGAGGAAAUAAUGAAAGUCUGAUCUGCUUCUUGAUCACUGCAAAACACCAAGGGGAGCGGGAAACUCGGGAAGGAGAAGGGGAAAGCUUUCCCUCGCCUGUAAGUCUUCCACUCUGCUCAGGGCUGCUACUUUUCCCACAGAGGUUCCAGACAGGUUGACCUCACAAGCAAACCUCUGAGGUCCUGUGGCAUAAAAAGAGUUUUGGGGGACACGGAGUGAGCAAGGGAUGGUCACGGAUUGCUCCCACUGCUUGUCCGUGUUAAGUCGCCCACUUUCCGUGCAGUGCUCCAGGCUUAUGUCACCCACUUGAUGGGUAACGUUGGUUGACAUAAAUGAUGCUAAGAAACCAAGAGUGGACUUAGUUUAACUUUAAAAAGAUGUUGAAAAGCACCUGGGGUUUCAGUGCAAGAGGCUGAGGGAUUCCUUUUCCUGCCGACACCAACAGCAUGUCCGCACAGGGGCAGCUGGCCCUUGCAUUUUCUGCGUGUGCUGCGCCAACCAGCGAGGGGGAAUCACAACAAGGAGUCUCUCUCUGGCAGAACCCCGGUUCUUGCGGCAGCUUAGAGACUGGGCAAAAUGCGCUGUCCUUCCCCAUUUGCCCGCUUCCUUGCUAGCACAGAACUUGCUGACUAGCAGGUUGACACUUAAACCCAAGGCUGACUCAACUUCACAAUACAUUUUGAAAGUAGUCUCCUCAUGAAUGCUACAAUUAAAAGGUAACAGCACUGGACUUUAAAACAGAACAAAAACCCUUGGAUUUUUAGUAAUCUUAAAAGCUAAAAAGAACACUGAAUAUGACAAACAUCUCAAAAAACACAUUGACUAUAUAAACGUGUAUUCAUUUAAUUUAAGGCACUUAUAGACUCUUCGAUUAGCAACAGUGCUCAAAAUGGUGUACAGAUUAAAGACUAAAUGUGUGUGGAAUAGUAGGAAGACAAACAACAUGAAAUAAAAUGUUUAAACUGCCUCAUAUUAAUGAGGCCCAUUAUUGACCUUCAGUGCACAGCUCCGGGUCCUCAGCUGUGCUCUGUAACCGAAGGUUUCCAGAUUCUAGUUGCAAAGAACUAACCUACUUUGGAUAGCUUUUAUGCUAGAUGUGUUGCCCAUUUACUGUCAUACACUUUUUACCAUUAUUUGCUUAUGUGCCUUAAUAAUAUUCAUACAUUGGAUAUUUUUAAGACAUAGUGCCCCGAGGAAGUCCUUUGGAAACACACUGGGCUAGCAAGCCUUGUGGAGGUGUGGAAAACACAGAUGGAGUUCCAGGAGUUGGGACACGGCCUUGAACCAGUGGGAAGCUGCCAUGAGGUUCAGAUGGAUGGAGGCAGGGGAGUGGAAAGCCAUGGUGCAGGAAACGGAGGAAAACGAGAGCUGCGAAGUCAUGCAGCAUAAAGCGAAGCUGAGAGCUGAAUGCGCGGACAAGGCAUCUGCGCGAGCUACAGGAGGAAGGGGGAGCCCGUGCUGUGAGAAGAGGUGUUAUGUGCUCUGAGUGACAAAAGGCAAAUUAUUUUGGCAGCAGAGUUCUGCAAAGAAGCGAGAGAACUCAAGGCAAAGAUGCAGGCUAACGUUCCGCUAAGCAAGGGAAGGUCUCUUCUGCAAUGGCGCAGCGAUCACUUUCCAAACCAGCUGUAGUUAUCACAAAAGUAUCCAGUGGAGCAGAAGGAGCUCACCUCUCCAAGGACUUUGCCAAGAAUAAGGCAAAGGCCAAUUGAGUCUUCGUGCAACUAAGUACUGAAAUGAGCCAUGUAGCCCAAACGUUACAAAAGGAAAGCAACAGUCUGUAUAAACCACAUUAAUCUGCACAUCAUGUGCUCCAUUUGCCAUGAAUCAUGGAAGAGAUUUUCUGAGAUCUAAACCGGAGCCCGGCCCUGAUGCACCUGGGAAUUCCACUCAUCCCACCCCUUGCUUCAGAUUUCACCAGGCAUCACUGGCUCGCUUUCAGACCUGACCCUUGCAGCAUUCUAGGUUAGAAACUUGCUUUUUAAGGAAAUUGCUCGGGAUGCUGGAUUCUGCAUCCAUUACCAAUGUAUUUUUCUGCAUUUCUGCAUCUCUGAGGAGCAAGCCCAGAGGAAACCAUGGAAAGAAGGGUCUGCUCAAGAACCAUCGAAGGAACAGCUCCACGAUGGCUGGCAAGCAGCCAGGCAGCCAUGCUAAACCCUUCCUACCCUCUCUAUUGUCUUCCCAGCGCCUCCCUCGGGACACGUCCUGCAUCAGAGCUCAGCAAAGGAGGAGAGCACCUGCAAGGAGGGAAAAGGCAAGCAGGAGAGUGGUCUGUACAGGCACUCCAGCAGCAAGCACCUGUUGCUCUCCAAUUCUGGUGCACCCACCUGCUUCAACAAGACUGGGGCAGAGGAAGUUUUGACGGAUGGGCAUGCUGCUGCCCCACUAGUUUGGCCCUGAGUCUAUGCAUGCUGUCAGCAGAGUGAGCGGGAUACUAAAGCACCGGGGAUGCCGGCAUCUCUGGUCUGUGCCAGGGAGGAGACGGAUGAUGUCCGAAAAGAAAGGGCCCACCUGUGACAGUGAGGUAGGCAGAGGUGUUGAUUAGCUCCAGCCCUCGCUGCUGCAAAGAGGCCCCAUCCAAGAGGAGAGUCUCUCUCUCAGGAUCCAGUUCUUCUCCAACCAGGGAGAUCUCGCAGCCAUCUAGGUUGUGAACAAUCUCAUCGGACAUCCGCGUAUCUGCCACUGCAAGGGAGAGCAAGUAGGGACGGCGUGAGAGACGGAGCCGAGGCAACAUCUCACAGUUGCGCUUGUUACGUCUACAUCUCGCCCUUCAUCCCAGUUGCUCAGAGCAGUAUUUUAAGAUUGUAACACAACAAAAUGUGGAAAGGUCCAAGUGGGAUGAAUUCUUCUGCCAAGCACUGCUUUGCCUCUAUAUAGGGAAUAAUAACAUUCUAAAUUCCAUGAAGCAAGACGUAUUGUGUUUCUCCAUGUAUCGUAUUUCUUGGACAAUGGGGUUGGCCACAUUGAUCAAGACUUCCUUGAGAUUUACAUGCGUAGAGUGAAGAUGGAAAGAUGAGGAGAAGCCAAUGGGCUACAGAUGGCACGCUGCCAAAGGGCACACAAAAAUGCUGAGUCAGCCCUGGUAGCAGGAGAUUAUUAGUUCAUGUUGCCAGCAUUAGGAAGUAAACAUGCAUCCAGGAGCAGACGGAGGAAGGAUGGCGCUUCCUCCUCCUUCUGUUUCUGCUGUUUGGGCUGUCACUGGCCCAGCCCUGCCCACGUGCCACGGCAUCCGUGCGGAAAUGCUCCACUUACCUGUGCCAUGCCAGCUUUCAUCUUUCUUAGCUUCCACUUGAUGUGAAAUGGAGCAAGAAAUCUGAACAUCAGGAAAGAGGGGGACUCCCUCGGGACCUUCAAAGUCAGAGGCAGGCCGGGCCAAAUGGGAACUGCCGCUCAGCGAUAUCUGAGGAGCAUCAGGCUGAAGCACAACUACGUAGCCUUCCACAUCUGGGAUGGAGACGCAGGAUUCCUCACUGAAGCAUCUAAUGGAAGAGGGAUCAGGAAAUCACUCUAACUUGCAGGUGGCGGGCAUCGCUUGGAACUGCGCAGCAAGGUACAAAUUCAGUACAGUGGCAUACUUGUAUCUUGUAACACAAUUCAUGUUCUGUCCCUUCCAUUGCUCUGGGCAGUGCCCAAGGCUGGGACCAAACAAUGCCAGCAUGUCUUAGCUUAAAGAUUUUACUGCCAGCCGCUAAGUUUCUCAAGAGGCAGUCGAACCUUACAGAAUAAGGGGAAUGCUGCACAAAAGCCAAGGAACCACUAAUUGACUGGUGAUUGGGGGGAAGCGUUGUGACCUCCUGGAGAUGCCCAGAGGGGUGAAUUGUGACUCCCAGAGUGCCAGAUUUGAUCCCUGGGCCCAAGGUUUUGCACCUCUGCUAUCCAGGAAAAAAACAGCAACUUUGGAAAGACAAUUUAGAUCAGGAAAAUAAAAUGCUGAGGAAAAGGA